AAUUAAGGAACAUCGACUAAGAACCGCACGUCCUGUGCGAACGUCGAUGGAUCUCACAUCGUGUGAG
rnacentral:sRNA from 1 species